GACGAACGCUGGCGGCGUGCCUAAUACAUGCAAGUAGAACGCUGAAGAGAGGAGCUUGCUCUUCUUGGAUGAGUUGCGAACGGGUGAGUAACGCGUAGGUAACCUGCCUUGUAGCGGGGGAUCACUAUUGGAAACGAUAGCUAAUACCGCAUAACAAUGGAUGACACAUGUCAUUUAUUUGAAAGGGGCAAUUGCUCCACUACAAGAUGGACCUGCGUUGUAUUAGCUAGUAGGUGAGGUAAUGGCUCACCUAGGCGACGAUACAUAGCCGACCUGAGAGGGUGGUCGGCCGCACUGGGACUGUGACACGGCCCAGACGCCUACGGGAAGCAGCAGUAGGGAAUCUUCGGCAAUGGGGGGAACACUGACCGAGAAAGGCCGCGUGAGGGAAGAGGGUUUUCGGAUCGUAAAGCUCUGUUGUAAGUCAAGAACGGGUGUGAGAGUGGAAAGUUCACACUGUGACGGUAGCGUACAAGAAAGGGACGGCUAACUACGUG
rnacentral:rRNA from 1 species